rnacentral:rRNA from 1 species
UACAGAGGGUGCAAGCGUUAAUCGGAAUUACUGGGCGUAAAGCGUGCGUAGACGGUUAUGUAAGUCAGAUGUGAAAGCCCCGGGCUUAACCUGGGAAUGGCAUUUGAGACUGCAUAGCUAGGGUGCGGAAGAGGGAAGCGGAAUUUCCGGUGUAGCGGUGAAAUGCGUAGAUAUCAGGAAGAACACCCGUGGCGAAGGCGGUUCUCUGGGACGGUACUGACGCUGAGACGCGAAAGCGUGGGGAGCGAACAGGAUUAGACUACCC